rnacentral:rRNA from 1 species
AUGGAUGGGCUACUACAUUGGGACUUCUCCCCCGGCCUUGCGGUCGCGGCUCAGGUGCGUCGUCGUUGUGGAUCCACUGUUCACUUCUCCCACUCUGGUACGACCAAAGAGUUCUUCUUGGUUGUAAGUUUCUCUUCGGCCUCAUUCCCUCUCAAUGAAGAAUCACUGGCCAUUGCACUACAAUGUUGCAUUGGU